rnacentral:tRNA from 1 species
GACUCCGUGGCCAAGUUGGUUAAGGCGUGCGACUGUUAAAAAAGCUAUCGGCUUUCAACAGGUUAUCGCAAGAUCGUCAGUUCAAUCCUGACCGGGGUCG